UAUUUCUAUCGAAUCCGCAUAAUGAUAUUUACAAUAAAAAAUAUUAUCACCAAUUUAUUAUUAUAACGGAUUGUUUUAAACAGCAAUAUGAUCAGAUAAGUGAAAGAAAGACGAAGAACUGCAAUACUUUUUACAACAUGAUGCAGCGAGAACAAUAUGUAAAAAUCAACGAAGGAGGAAGAUUUACAAUACUUUUUGGAAUAUAAUGCAGAUGCAAAAAAUGAUGCACGUAACCUUUAUCAAGGAUGAAAAGAGUCCCAACAUCUAUCUACAACGUUUAUCGCACGUUUCGUUUCUUUUACGGAAUACAUAUUCCGUAAUGUUUUAUACUAGUUGUUCUGUAAAAAUUAGGAAACAUACAUUGAUGUUUCAUUAUCAGUUUUGCGCGCCGAACUUAUUACACAAACGUACAUACCGAUUCGAUGAUUCGGGAGAAAUGUCAAUUUUCUUAAUGCGCUUUUUGUUCUUUUUUUCGCAUUAUCACUGAAGUCAUACAUCUUGAACGAUAUUGGACAAACAUCUUUGUGUUCAAUCGUUUCUCGCCAUUAUCUGGUAAUUUUUCAAGAAUAAUUUUCACACCAAUACAUAAAAAUCUGUUCUCUUUAUUUCAUGAUACAGUAUUUGAAUUGUUUGUAAAUGCUUCUGAGAAGUAAGAAGAAUUGCUUGUACCAAAUAGAUCACAAUGACAUAUAGGGCUAAGAAGAUGUGGUCUUAUAUCGUGGAAAUAUUGUGAGAAAAUAUUGUUAACGCAUCGUAUCAUGUUUAUGGCCACUUGCAUGAUUAGACAAUAUUUUUGCAACGGAAAUUAAUUUACAUUACGUGACUCAUUAGUAGUAUAAAUUCGAAUGUAGCACAUAAAUUAUCAAAUAAAGAUCUGAACAUAUAUUAACACAUAACGUACGAAUAUUUGUAAAUAUCUUUUUGUAAGUAAAUUUUUAAACAUCUGUUUAUAUAUCUUGUAAUAAUAUUGUAAAUAUUUUUGUAUUUAUUGUAUAUUAUCAAAUUAACGUUGGUUGUACAUCUACAUAUAUUUGAUUCUAUAGUCUUAAAACUAACAGAAAAUUCGUAAUUUCGGCAGGAAAACUUAUAUUUUACAAUAUAAAAUAAAUAUACCUAUUAAUUUGUUGAAAGUAAUGUAUUGCAAUAACUAGAUUAUUAUUAUAUGUAUUUGAUAAUAAUAGCAAUAUGAGGGAAAACGAAGAAUUGCAAUACUUUUUGCAAGUAGAUAAGUGUAUCAGUCAGCUCCUUUUAAAUAAUAUUUUCACCAGUUUAUUAUUAUAACGCAUUAUUUUUGACUAGAAGAACAAUAUGAUAAAAUUAAUGAAGUAUGAAUCAUUAUUAUUAUUUGAAUUGAAGCUGUUGUCUAUAACGUUGACUAGAUUUAACAUAAACCUAUUUGUUCUUUGCCAAUAAAACGAACAAUUUUGAGUAUAUGUGCAUUAUUAUUUGCGGUUAUUGUACAUAUGAACUACUCACUUGCCAAAUCGGUUAACUCCAUAAAACAAAAACUGGAGAAAUAUGGUAAAAUAAUAUAAAUUGCUUUUUAAAAUUCUCUUUAAAGUAUAAAUUUAAAUAAACAUUGUAAAAUGUAUAAAUGCAAACGUAGCUAUCAUAUAACAACGUAUAAAGUGAAUAAGAUAGAAAAGUCUUAGAGUAAUCGUUAAAAAUAAAAUAUUUUUUAUUUUAGUAAUAAUAGUAUUAAAUAACGAAAAUUAAAGAAAUUUAUUAUGAAUAUAAAAAGUGAGGACUGCAUCAAGAGGUUUAACACACAAAUUUGAAAACAUUCAAAAAGUGGAGUUAAUCGAAUUGACUCGUAUAUAUAUUAUAUAGAUUAAGUUUAUAUUGUGUCAAUGUAUUAUAAUAAGAUUUUUUCAAUUUGAUCCUGCUCUUUCAUCAAACAUUUUGUUCAUCGCUCUUUUUUUUAAUAAUAUUACCUCUUAACUUGUCAAUCGUUUGCAAUUUGUUGGCAUAGAUUUAAUAUAGCUUCGUAAAAAAUAGCCAAAUUACAUGAUCUUGGUUACCAAAUAAUGUGAUCACUUCGCAAAAUAACGAAUCCUUUGAAUUUUUCGGUCAGUAAGUCACUUGACUAAUGAUGAGAGGCCAAUAUCACUCGUGUAAUUGAUGAAACUGAAUUCUACUUGUACGAAAAUGUAAUCGAAAAUUAGACUAAGAGAAUAUAGAGUGAUCAUAUAGAGCCAAGAUGGUCACUUGACCGUUAUUAUUUUUUAUACAUAAUGGUAUCACCUGAAUAUAUUUUAAAAUGAAGUAAAAAAUAUUACAAUAUCACAAAUAUAAUUUGCUUUAUUUUAAUUUAACCCUUACCACUCCAAGUGUUUUUAUCAGGCAUUACACUGACUAUUUUAUUCCUUAUUAACUUUACAUUUCGACCACUCAAAUGUGUCUCUAAAUUCCGUAUAAUCUUUAUUCGCAUCUUAGUUAAUCUUUUUUUUUAUUUUAUUCUAAACGCAUCCAUUUCACUUUAAUGACAAAAAAGAAAAAAAUUAUUUGCUGCUAAUUUGGAAAGAUAAGCGAAUUAUAAUCAUAGA